GGUACCAGGUCGGACAGGUGGCGUGUGGUCUGAAUCACACCGUAGCCGUCUCCGUCGAUGGAAUGAUGGUCUGGGCCUUCGGAGACGGAGACUACGGGAAACUGGGCCUGGGGAAUUCUACCGCCAAGUCCUCUCCUCAGAAGGUGGACGUUCUCUGUGGCCUCGGCAUCAAGAAGGUGUCCUGUGGAACUCAGUUCUCUGUUGCCCUCACUAAAGAUGGCAACGUGUACACGUUCGGACAAGACCGACUGAUAGGGCUGCCGGAGU